ensembl:lncRNA
GGUGCCCGAUGCUGUUCCGGAGGUCGAGGCGGUGCCCGAUGCCGAGGCAGUGCCCGAUGCUGUUCCGGAGGCCGAGGCUGUGCCCGAUGCUGUUCCGGAGGUCGAGGCGGUGCCCGAUGCUGUUCCGGAGGUCGAGGCGGUGCCCGAUGCUGUUCCCGAUGCCGAGGCGGUGCCCGAUGCCGAUGUGGUGCCCGAUGCGUUCCGGAGGCCGAGGCGGUACCCGAUGCUGUGCCCGAUGCCGAAGCGGUGCCCGAGGCUGUGCCCGAUGCCGUUCUGGAGGCCGAGGCGGUGCCCGAUCCCGAGGUCGUUCCCGAGCCCGAGGUCGUUCCCGAGGCGUUGCCCGAUGCCGUGACCGAGGCCGAUCCAGAGGCGUUGCCCGAAGCCGAGGCGCCUCACGUCUCCACAGGCCGUCCAGAACACCUUCACGUCUUCGCAGGGCCUCCAGAAGGGCAGGUUCCACUCUGGUCGCUCAAGGGGCGGGUUCCUCCCUGGCCAUCGCCACAGCCUGCUCCUCACUGGCUCCCCGAAUGGCAGGUUCCGUUCUGGCCACUCAAAUGGCGAGUUCCUCCCUGGCCGUCUGCACAACUAGAAUGGACUGAUCCUCCGUGGCCACCUGAACUGCCUGGUCCCUCGUGGUCCCCUGAACUUUCGGGUCCACCCUGGCCCCCUGAACUGACUGAUCCACCUUGGCUGCCGGUGGAGCCAUCGCUGCCGGUCCCUGUUUUCCUACACGGUCCUGGCCCUCCAUCCCUCCCCCUGUUCUACCUCCACCAGUCCACCUCCCUCCUGGUCUCUUUGUUUUGUGUUUGUUUUGUUCUGAGGAGCAUCUGGAAGCUGGUCCUUAGAGGGGGGCAAGUGUCACAGUGUCUGGUUUGUGUAUCCCGGGGUGUCCGCUAGAGGUCUCACUUCCCCAUAUCAUCACCCCACCUCAGGAACUACAUUUCCCACAGUCGUGUUGAUACUCAUCACUGUUCAUUGCACUCAGCUGUCCCUGGUCAUCAAUCAUUGCACUCAGCCAAUUCCCCGUUAGUAUUGUCAUUUCCCUGUGUAUAAAUACCCCGGUUGUUCUGUCAUUGUUACGGAGUCCUUGUUGAAUGUCACCCU